rnacentral:rRNA from 1 species
UACGGAGGGGGCUAGCGUUGUUCGGAAUUACUGGGCGUAAAGCGCACGUAGGCGGCUUUGCAAGUUAGAGGUGAAAGCUCGGGGCUCAACUCCGGAAUUGCCUUUAAAACUGCAUCGCUAGAAUUGUGGAGAGGUAAGUGGAAUUCCGAGUGUAGAGGUGAAAUUCGUAGAUAUUCGGAAGAACACCAGUGGCGAAGGCGACUUACUGGACACAUAUUGACGCUGAGGUGCGAAAGCGUGGGGAGCAAACGGG